rnacentral:misc_RNA from 1 species
GAUGAAGAACGCAGCGAAAUGCGAUACUUGGUGUGAAUUGCAGAAUCCCGUGAACCAUCGAGUCUUUGAACGCAAGUUGCGCCCGAAGCCGUCAGGCCGAGGGCACGCCUGCCUGGGCGUCACACGCCGUUGCCCCCCCGCGCCCCGCACCCAACUCUUUGGGAGCGACCGCGGGGCGGGCUGAUGAUGGCCUCCCGUGCGCUCCGCCGCGCGGUUGGCCCAAAUACCGAGUCCCCGGCGACGUGCGCCCCGACGAUCGGUGGUUGAGAGACCUCUGUCGCAAGUCGUGCGCGCCCGUCGCGUCACGCGGGCUCGCAUAGCGCCUCGCGCCGCACCCGGUGCGGAGCUUUCAACGCGACCCCAGGUCAGGCGGGGUUACCCGCUGAAUUUAAGCAUAUCAAUAAGCGGAGGA